rnacentral:lncRNA from 1 species
AGGAUGCCGUGAGGUGCAAAAAUAAGGUGAAGAGGCAAGAAGCAAACGAGCGAAGUUUAGCAGAUUCAACGGAAGGAAAAGCUCGAGCUCAAUAAGGAGGUAUUCGAGGGUAUCGGUUCGGCUUCGGCGGAGCUUGAGCUUACGUACACGACUUCAUGUUUAUAAAAUUGACCAAGCUAAGUUCCUGUGAAAUGAUGAUAUUGCUAUACAUUACACAGCCUGAGCUCAAGCCUUGCUCCAUGUUUUUUUUUCGAAACGAGGAGAGCUGCCAAUUAUAUUAAAAAGAAGAUGAUCUAGACUGGACAGAUACAAAGCACCAAGCGAUGCAAAAGUUCAAGAAAAAAAAGUAUACAAACGUAUAAGGUCCGAAGCGCGGAAAGAAUUAACAAUGGGCGAUUAAAAUAGAAAGGUGUUUUGCUCCGGCCAUAGUCCACAUCGCAGUCUCAUCUUUAACUUUGUGGAACAUCAUAUUAGUUGUAGAUUCCUUGCGCUCAAAAAUUCUCGAAUUUCUCUCUCUCCAAAUAAUCCAUGAAACAAGCAUGAUUAUGGGCCUUGCUCCAUGUUUUGAUUCCAACCUAGAAUUGCUUUGAAUUCCAACCAAGUGCAUGCGUGGUUCUCAGGCCUGGUUUGGUUUCUUUGCUUAUUUUAGCACCUGUUUAGAUACUAAUUAGAAGUAUUAAACGUAGACUAUUUACAAAACCCAUUACAUAAGCGGAGGCUAAACGGCGAGACGAAUCUAUUAAGACUAAUUAGUCCAUGAUUUGACAAUAUGUUGCUACAGUAAAUAUUUGCUAAUGAUGAAUUAAUUAGGCUUAAUUAAGCUUAAUAGAUUCGUCUCGCCGUUUAGCCUCCACUUAUGUAAUGAGUUUUGAAAAUAGACUACGUUUAAUACUCCUAAUUAGUAUCUAAACAUUCGAUGUGACACGUACUAAAAAUAAGCAAAAGUAACCAAACGGACCCUCAGUCCUUCCUUCCCCUCGGAGUCAUGAGAAAUAUUAACUCCCACAAAAACUGGAGUAUUGUUCGAAAUUCAAAUCAUCUAACCUAAUAACAAGGCUUGGCAAGAAUUUUUUUUUCCUUAAACCAUCUAUACUUAGACGUGGGAUGAAACCACUAUAAUUGCAAAAAGGGCUACUUUCAAACAGGAAAUUAUUUGCACGAAAACUCACUGAAGCCACUGACCAACUUCUAUUCUUCGUUCUUCUAACUUUUAAUACCACUCCCUCCAUUUUAAAAAAUAUGAUGUUUAGGACAAGCCAGUUAGCUGAAAAACAGAGGGAGUAGUAUUUAAGCUAAUACUCUAUAUUGCUAAGUUCCUUAUAAACUACUCCCUCCGUUCUUAAAUAUAUGACGCCGUUGACUUUUUACUCCAACUUUGACCACCAAUAUACGAG